GACGAACGCUGGCGGCGUGCCUAAUACAUGCAAGUUGAGCGCUGAAGGUUGGUACUUGUCCCGACUGGAUGAGCAGCGAACGGGUGAGUAACGCGUGGGGAAUCUGCCUUUGAGCGGGGGACAACAUUUGGAAACGAAUGCUAAUACCGCAUAAAAACUUUAAACACAAGUUUUAAGUUUGAAAGAUGCAAUUGCAUCACUCAAAGAUGAUCCCGCGUUGUAUUAGCUAGUUGGUGAGGUAAAGGCUCACCAAGGCGAUGAUACAUAGCCGACCUGAGAGGGUGAUCGGCCACAUUGGGACUGAGACACGGCCCAAACUCCUACGGGAGGCAGCAGUAGGGAAUCUUCGGCAAUGGACGAAAGUCUGACCGAGCAACGCCGCGUGAGUGAAGAAGGUUUUCGGAUCGUAAAACUCUGUUGGUAGAGAAGAACGUUGGUGAGAGUGGAAAGCUCAUCAAGUGACGGUAACUACCCAGAAAGGGACGGCCAACUACGUG
rnacentral:rRNA from 1 species